AUAUAAGCAAAAUUGAUUUUUUAGAUUCAUUCAUUUAAUGAUGAAUGUGGUCCAUAUUAUUAAUCACAUACAUCAUUAAAUGAAUGAAUCUAAAAAGUCAAUUUUGCUUAUAU
rfam:Medicago truncatula strain A17 chromosome 1, whole genome shotgun sequence.